rnacentral:misc_RNA from 1 species
CGAAACCCUCGAUCCCGAUGGCAGCUAGGGCGGCGCUCGCGGCAGCUUCCUCCCUCCGCUCAACCCUGACCUCACCGGCGGCCCGAUUCACCCCUCGGCGCGGGCUCGCCGGCGGUGGAGAUCACCAUGGACCCCCGAGAGUGAAUUUUUGGGAAGAUCCUAUGAGUCCAUCAAAAUGGAAGGAAGAACAUUUCGUGCUUGUGAGUUUGGCUGGUUGGGGUUUACUUAUUUAUGGAGGAUUCAAGGCUUUCUCCGGAGGGAAGAAGGAAGAUAACAAGGAGGUACCUGUGGAAGCCAAACACUAGAGAGGUAGGGUCGCUUACCUGGAAAUAAAGCAGUUGUGGAGUCCCUAGUAACCUCUAAAAAGGUUACCUUUUUUUAUUGUGGUUGAUAAAGUUCCGAGUAGAAUGUGUGAGGCUAAGUUUUUUGAAGUUUCGUUUAUAAUAUCAGCUCAGCAGCUGUAUAUGACAUGACUCAACUAUUUUUGUUGGAGCCAACCACAAUAAGUUGAGAUGCUAUAAGAAACUCUGAUACUUAUCGAGGUACUCUUGUGUUUGGUUCAUUGGAUGAUGUUGUUUUAUUUUCGAAGGAUUUCUUAAUUCGUG